UCUCGAUAGCGUAAAAGUUAACUCAAAUUUGUAUGAAGUUGGAACGUUUGCCUACGUUUGCCGCUAAGGGCGCUGUUCCAACUGCAUACAAAUUUGAGUUAACUUUCAACGCGCGCGA
rnacentral:pre_miRNA from 9 species